rnacentral:rRNA from 1 species
AUUGAACGCUGGCGGCAGGCCUAACACAUGCAAGUCGAACGGUAACAGAAAGCAGCUUGCUGCUUUGCUGACGAGUGGCGGACGGGUGAGUAAUGUCUGGGAAACUGCCUGAUGGAGGGGGAUAACUACUGGAAACGGUAGCUAAUACCGCAUAACGUCGCAAGACCAAAGAGGGGGACCUUCGGGCCUCUUGCCAUCGGAUGUGCCCAGAUGGGAUUAGCUAGUAGGUGGGGUAACGGCUCACCUAGGCGACGAUCCCUAGCUGGUCUGAGAGGAUGACCAGCCACACUAGAACUGAGCCACGGUCCAGACUACUACGGGAGGCAGCAGUGGGGAAUAUUGCACAAUGGGAGGAAUCCUGAUGCAGCCAUGCCGCGUGUAUGAAGAAGGCCUUCGGGUUGUAAAAUACUUUCAGAGGGGAGGAAGGGAGUAAAGUUAAUACCUUUACUCAUUGACGUUACCCGCAGAAGAAGCACCGGAUAACUCCGUG